rnacentral:rRNA from 1 species
UACGUAGGGGGCGAGCGUUGUCCGGAUUCAUUGGGCGUAAAGAGCUCGUAGGCGGUUCAGUAAGUCGGGUGUGAAAUCUCCGUGCUCAACACGGAGCGGCCACCUGAUACUGCUGCGACUCGAGUCCGGUAGGGGAGUGUGGAAUUCCCGGUGUAGCGGUGAAAUGCGCAGAUAUCGGGAAGAACACCCGUGGCGAAGGCGGCUCUCUGGGACGGUACUGACGCUGAGACGCGAAAGCGUGGGGAGCGAACAGG